AAAGAAAUGGCGGAUUAGAAAAAUAAUAAUGAACUGUUUUGUUUAUACCACUCCAGGUGGCAUUUUACAUAUAAACAAUACUGAAUGGAGUAGAAAGACUACGAAGGAGACUUUAUAAUUAACAACAAAUCUCAUGACUGGAAGUGUGUGUUUAAAUUGAACCUCAUUGGAAAUGGGCUGGACUCCGGCCUAACGGGCGUUCCUGGUGCUCAUCACGCAAAAGAAGACACAACUAUCAGAAAAGAAUGUCCGGACUCAAUCGUGAAAGGCAACAGAACUUACCAAUUAUUCAUAGAUAGCUAAAAAUUGUGUCACUCAUCAAGCUUCCUGUAAAAAUUCUGGAUAUGAAAUUAAUUAAAAUAUAAUGUAGAUUUUAUUUUUUAAAUGUUUUCCUCUGCAAUAAUCAUCUCAAAAAUAAUGUUAGCAAUAUGUAUUAAUUCUUGUAGGCUUUAUGUUUAGUAAUAGGCCUAUUGUAUUAUUACUGCUAAUGUUUAUCUUAUUAAUAGAGAAAGUAACCCGUUUGUUGUAAAGAAUAUAGAUAUAUAUAAUAAGAUGUAACAUUUUGAGGAUAAAAAUCAGAUUUAUUGAUUUUUUGCCGGAUGUACAUGAUAUAGGACUACAGUAUAUAAAUAUAAAAUGUAUAUAUAUAUAUAUU